GACGAACGCUGGCGGCGUGCUUAACACAUGCAAGUCGAACGGAAAGGCCUGCUUUCCCUUGUGGAUUGCGGGUACUCGAGUGGCGAACGGGUGAGUAACACGUGAGUGAUCUGCCCCCAACUUGGGUAUAAGCCUGGGAAACUGGGUCUAAUUCCCGAUAGGACUGCAGGGUGGUGCCUGUGGUGGAAAACGAUUUUCUAGUGGUUGGGGAUGAGCUCGCGGCCUAUCAGCUGGUUGGUGGGGUAAUGGCCUACCAAGGCGGCGACGGGUAGCCGGCCUGGUAGGGUGGACGGCCACAUUGGGACUGAGAUACGGCCCAGACUCCUACGGGAGGCAGCAGUGGGGAAUAUUGCACAAUGGGCGGAAGCCUGAUGCAGCGACGCCGCGUGGGGGAUGACGGCCUUCGGGUUGUAAACUCCUUUCGACCGCGAGGAAGCCACCUGGUUGGAAGGGUGGUGACGGUAGUGGUAGAAGAAGCACCGGCUAACUACGUG
rnacentral:rRNA from 1 species